ensembl:lncRNA
CUCUCCCUCUCUAGAUGGUUUUGACCUGCCUGCCAUUGCAGCUACUGGCACCUCCCUAGGCCCCCAUGGGUCCCCGAGAGAGCGGGGAAGGUGUAGAAGGCCCCAGCCUUCAGUACCCGUCUCCAGCAACCCCAAGGCCACAGCACCCAUUUGUCUUGUGUUUUACAAUCCACCCCUUCACCUCCUUCUCGCCGGCUCUCCCCCUAUCGCUCUCUCAAUCCCAUUUGGCUCUCCUCAUUUUUCACUUGAGUGGGUUUCCUAUCCCCGACUCGGCUCUGGCCUCACUCUGCUCAACACCAAUAAAACACACUCAACACAGGUGGAACAAGGUGCCCGAGCCCCUGUGACAGAUGGCUCGCCAGCCAUCUAAGCGCAGCUAUAAAUCGGCCUUCCCAUGACUGGGCAGGCCCGGUCCCCGCAGCCGGGCAGUAGGGAUGGGCGGCCAGCGGACCAGCACUUGGCCAGCACCCCCAGGCCUUCCCAGGAUCACAGGCGUCCGGGAGGGGGCAGGGUGGCCGGUGGGAGGGCAGGGACCCCUGACAUGUUUACACCUGUGGCUUUGGCUGGAGCCACUCAGACUUCCACUGGUUUUGGCCUAGAGAUCCACUGGCGCUCUUCAUGCUUCCACGUGCCAGGCAUCACGCUGAGGCUCGCCAUCAUAUUGUCUUUAAUCCUCCCCAAAACUCUAUGGGGUGCAGUUACCAUGACCGUCCCUAUCUCUCACAGAUGAAAACCCUGAUGUCGGUCUAGCAAGGUCACAGAGCUUGCCCAAGGUCAUCUGGCUUGUAAAUGGCAAGCCGGGAGGGCGGACUUCCGGGACUCAGGGCUCUUCAGGGACCGCGACUCAGGAACUGGGGCUCUUCAUCACCAUGUCCUGUGUGCGUGGCCCAGGGCUGGGCAUGUCCGGGAGCAAGAUGGUCCUCCUGCCGGCACCAUCAGCCUUGUACAGGGGAGCUGUGUUGCAUCUUCACCCCAGAACCAAUGAUGAGAGGUGGGGAAGCCUCCUCCAUCCGGGAGUAUUGAGGUUGCCGUCAGCACGGAGGAGCACAGGGAGCAGUAAGGGAAGCCCCCAGGAAGGCUGCUCCAGCCCCUUCUCCUGCCCGGGGAGCCACUGGGGCUUGUGGGUCUGUAACCUCACACCCAGGGCAUCGGGUACUGCGGGGAUGCGACUUGUUUCAGCCGGUCUCCUCUUUGGCUUUAGGUGCCUUUAAUUGCCGCAAAUGCAAGUUCAGACGGGAGAGGCAGGCAUCACCCUUCUGAGCCACCGGACCUUCCUCUCUCGCCUCCUUCGUCGCUGGCCGAUCACAAACACCGGGCGCUUUGUGUCUAAAAUAGCCGAGAUAAUUGAAACGGAAUUCGGAAUCAGGGCCCUGCAGGCAGCACUUGUUGAAAGAAGAAAUAAAGAUCGCGUGGGUCACGUCUUUUGUAAUUUG